GUCAUUAAAAGAAAAAUUGAUUGAGGUAUUUUAGUAAACAAAAGAACUCACUGCUUACCCAUCAGGAAGUGUAUUGUUAAGAUAGUGCUGUUCAGCCUCUUGGAAGAAAAUGUUUCUUCAUGCUUCUCUCUUUAGCCUAAUUCUUAUCCUGUCACAUUUCAGGAAAAAAAAAAAAAAGACAAGAUUGAAAAUGAUGGCCCUAUUUUAUUUGCUUCAAAAGAAACAGGCUGUUGCAUUGUGCUUGGAACAGUUUACUCUUGGCCUUGACGAGAGAAAACAAAGAAGAGUAAAAACUAGAUUGUCAUGUAUGUUAUUCAGAAUUCUUUGACUGCAAACCAACCAGAGUCAAAAAGGAAAAUACACUGGCUUAUGAAACCUUAUCACAAAUAUGGCAGGGUAGGUGGACCCUCAGGAACAAGGGAAUGGGAUACUAGAAUUAAUCCAGUCUGAGUUGACUGCCUGCCUCAGAGGUCUUAUUAGAGGAAGGGGUGUGUGUUAGGGUGGGGGGAGGGCCGAGCAGGUAAAGAUAAGACCACCAACCAUUUAAAAAAUGGUUUCCUUUGAUGUCUUUCUAAAUUUUGCAAAUGCUUUCAAGCAGUGGGGAAAAGAACAUGGAGACUAUACAAGUGAGUGCUAUGCUUGUAUCAUGAGCCUGGUGCUUACCUUGAACAGCUCACUCACUGGGUGUACCUGAGGCUACAGAUGCCCCGUGAAAAGCUUCUACAAGGUUGUUCUCAAGCUGGUCUCCUCAUGUGGUUCCGUUCCUUCCCUGUUCCUUCAUUCCAGUGAUCUCCCUCCUUUCCUGACCCCUGUGACUGAUGGCUUUUUUUGCAUGGGCAACCUAACUUUGCUUUUGUUUUCAUCCUGGAGGACAAAGUCUUCAGAUUAUCCUAAACCUGAUCAACUGUAGCCACUGGGCCAAUAUUCCCCUCCUCCAAACGGGCCAUUUUCCUGGUGCCCUGUCGCCCUAGCUUGGGUCAAACACUCCUAGAAACGAAAAGGUAUGGUUCACAAUAGACAUUCUAGAAAUAGAUUGUUUUUGACAUGUCGCAAAAUUUAUUCACACCUUGGAACUAAAGCGUUUUCCCACUGAAACCAACACCAGCCAGGCCGCCCCUGGAAUGUAAGGAGGUCCAAAUAUGGGAU
rnacentral:lncRNA from 1 species